rnacentral:rRNA from 1 species
GAAUUUUGUUAUUUUUUAUUCUUGAUUAAAUUUAUUUAUAUGAUUUAUUAUAAUAUUUUUUUAUUAUUAAAAGUAAAUUGUUCCAGAUUAUUCGGCUACACUUUUUAAUUUUUUUUUAUUUUAUUUAUGUAUCAAACUUUAUUUUUUUUAUUUUUUUGUGUUUAUUAUCAUAUUUUUAAAAUAGUACGUUUUAUUUAUUUAUUUUUUUUACAUCGUUUUUUAGAAUAUAGAUGAAUUUUUUAUUUUUUAUGAUAAUUUUUUAAAAUAUAUAAUUUUUAUAUUUUUUUUUUGUUUUAUUUAUUUAUUUUUAAUUAUAAUAUUUAUAGUCCUAUGAAAAAAUAAUUUUUUAAGUAGUAUUAGGGAAUAAAAUUUUAUAAAUUUUAUAUUUAAUAUUUUUUCAUUUUUUUU